rnacentral:rRNA from 1 species
UACAUGCAGUCGAGCGCAGGGAAAGCAAGUUGAUCCCCUUCGGGGGUGACGCUUGUGGAAUGAGCGGCGGACGGGUGAGUAACACGUGGGCAACCUGCCUGUAAGACUGGGAUAACCCCGGGAAACCGGGGCUAAUACCGGAUAAUACUUUCUUUUGCAUAAAGGAAAGUUGAAAGGCGGCUUCGGCUGUCACUUACAGAUGGGCCCGCGGCGCAUUAGCUAGUUGGUGAGGUAACGGCUCACCAAGGCGACGAUGCGUAGCCGACCUGAGAGGGUGAUCGGCCACACUGGGACUGAGACACGGCCCAGACUCCUACGGGAGGCAGCAGUAGGGAAUCUUCCGCAAUGGACGAAAGUCUGACGGAGCAACGCCGCGUGAGUGAUGAAGGUUUUCGGAUCGUAAAACUCUGUUGUUAGGGAAGAACAAGUACGAUAGUAACUGAUCGUACCUUGACGGUACCUAACCAGAAAGCCACGGCUAACUACGUGCCAGCAGCCGCGGUAAUACGUAGGUGGCAAGCGUUGUCCGGAAUUAUUGGGCGUAAAGCGCUCGCAGGCGGUCCUUUAAGUCUGAUGUGAAAUCUCGCGGCUCAACCGCGAACGGUCAUUGGAAACUGGAGGACUUGAGUACAGAAGAGGAGAGUGGAAUUCCACGUGUAGCGGUGAAAUGCGUAGAGAUGUGGAGGAACACCAGUGGCGAAGGCGACUCUCUGGUCUGUAACUGACGCUGAGGAGCGAAAGCGUGGGGAGCCUUUG